rnacentral:rRNA from 1 species
GACGAACGCUGGCGGCGUGCUUAGCACAUGCAAGUCGAACGGUAAGGCCCUUCGGGGUACACGAGUGGCGAACGGGUGAGUAACACGUGGGUGAUCUGCCCUGCACUUCGGGAUAAGCCUGGGAAACUGGGUCUAAUACCGGAUAGGACCACUGCCUGCAUGGGUGGUGGUGGAAAGCUUUUGCGGUAUGGGAUGGGCCCGCGGCCUAUCAGCUUGUUGGUGGGGUGAUGGCCUACCAAGGCGACGACGGGUAGCCGGCCUGAGAGGGUGACCGGCCACACUGGGACUGAGAUACGGCCCAGACUCCUACGGGAGGCAGCAGUGGGGAAUAUUGCACAAUGGGCGCAAGCCUGAUGCAGCGACGCCGCGUGAGGGAUGACGGCCUUCGGGUUGUAAACCUCUUUCAGCACCGACGAAGCGCAAGUGACGGUAGGUGCAGAAGAAGGACCGGCCAACUACGUGCCAGCCGCCGCAGUAA